GAUGAAGAACGCAGCGAAAUGCGAUAAGUAAUGUGAAUUGCAGAAUUCAGUGAAUCAUCGAAUCUUUGAACGCACAUUGCGCCCGCGAGUAUUCUCGCGGGCAUGCCUGUCCGAGCGUCAUUUCAACCCUCAGGGCCCGCCUGCUUCGGCAGGCGCGGCGCUGGUGUUGGGGAUCGGCCUAACCGCCGUCCCCCAAAUACAGUGGCGGUCUCGCUGCAGCCUCCCCUGCGUAGUAGCAACACUCGCAUGCGGAGCGCGGCGCGGCCACGCCGUAAAACCCCCGACUUUCUGAACGUUGACCUCGGAUCAGGUAGGAACACCCGCUGAACUUAAGCAUAUCAAUAAGCGGAGGA
rnacentral:misc_RNA from 1 species